GUGGGGAAUUUUGGACAAUGGGCGAAAGCCUGAUCCAGCAAUGCCGCGUGUGUGAAGAAGGCCUUCGGGUUGUAAAGCACUUUUGGCAGGAAAGAAAUAGUGCGUGCUAAUACCAUGCGCGAAUGACGGUACCUGCAGAAUAAGCACCGUCUAACUACGUGCCAGCAGCCGCGGUAAGACGUAGGGUGCAAGCGUUAAUCGGAAUUACUGGGCGUAAAGCGUGUGCAGGCGGUUUUGUAAGACAGGUGUGAAAUCCCCGGGCUCAACCUGGGAACGGCACUUGUGACUGCAAGGCUAGAGUGUGUCAGAGGGAGGUGGAAUUCCGCGUGUAGCAGUGAAAUGCGUAGAGAUGCGGAGGAACACCGAUGGCGAAGGCAGCCUCCUGGGAUAACACUGACGCUCAGGCACGAAAGCGUGGGGAGCAAACAGGAUUAGAUACCCCUGUAGUCC
rnacentral:rRNA from 1 species